rnacentral:rRNA from 1 species
AUUGAACGCUGGCGGCGUGCUUAACACAUGCAAGUCGAACGGAGUGGCGAACGGGUGAGUAACACGUGGGUGACCUGCCCUGCACUUCGGGAUAAGCCUGGGAAACUGGGUCUAAUACCGGAUAGUGUGGGAUGGGCGCGCGGCCAAGCAGCUUGUUGGUGGGGUUAUGGCCUACGAAGGGGGCGACGGGUAGCCGUGCUGGGAGGGUGGACGGCCACAUUGGGACUGAGACACGGGCCAGAAUCAUACGGGAGGCAGCAGUGGGGAAUAUUGCACAAAGGGCGGAAGCCUGAUGCAGCGACGCCGCGUGGGGGAUGAAGGCCUUCGGGUUGUAAACUCCUUUCACCAUCGACGCGGUAGAUGGAGAAGAAGCACCGGCUAACUACGUGCCAGCAGCCGCGGUAAUUC